UACGUAGGGUGCGAGCGUUAAUCGGAAUUACUGGGCGUAAAGCGUGCGCAGGCGGUUUGCUAAGACCGAUGUGAAAUCCCCGGGCUUAACCUGGGAACUGCAUUGGUGACUGGCAAGCUAGAGUGUGGCAGAGGGGGGUAGAAUUCCACGUGUAGCAGUGAAAUGCGUAGAGAUGUGGAGGAAUACCGAUGGCGAAGGCAGGUCUCUGGGCUGACACUGACGCUCAUGCACGAAAGCGUGGGGAGCAAACAGG
rnacentral:rRNA from 1 species